GUUAUUUAAGCACUUACCUCGCAGCCCCAGGUCCGACACAAGAGGGCCUCCCUCCUCCUCUAACCUAAUUCAAAAGUCAACAGACUCGCAGCAGGAACAGAGGGAGCGUCGAUCAGUGGCCUAUAGGUGGGUUAGUCUCUGCUUUAAAGAUUAGCAAAUACCUACCUCGACCGGCGGAGCCCUCCAUUCCUGUCCCAGCAGCAGAAAGAGUGGGAGCUCGAACCGAGAAGGACUCUCGUGUGUUGUUAAGUGUUCUUAUCCACAGGGAACAAUGAAGACUCGGUUAUUGAAGAUAUUCUAAACUGAACUCAACUGACCUUUGAUGGACAGGAGAGUCAAUAUUUAUUCGGAUGAAACAGGAAAGGCGUGUUCAACCAUAAACAGAUCAUCCGUGAUCUUUCCAUUUUGAGCAGCAGACUUGAAGGUCCAAAGGGCCACCUCCAGUGCCUAGCUGAUGUGUUGUUCUCUCGCUCCAUCCCUUGAUGAUGUUACAGGGGUAAGGUCAGUGUCUUGUUAUUGCAGCAAGUCCGUGAGGGUCUCCAAAAACGAACUUGACAUUUGGCGCAAGAGCAGGGUUCCAACACGUACAGCAGUCUCACGUGGAGGGCUGAAUAAGUGAUUGCUCGAGUGUCAGUGGAGUGAGACGGACGGGCCUGCAAGGUACGAUUCAGCUUGGUCUCUCUCACUAACCUGCCAUCCGUGCGACCCCUCGUCCCUGCGCGUCUCUGCACUGACGGAACCCGAGACAACUCACGGUGUUGAACACUGCUAAAUCCUAACGCCUGGAUGUUCGAGUCCCCAGGUGAAGUGCGCCUUCGGACCACCUCCGCAGACACCGGAACAAGACCUCGAGAUUCAGGAUCAAUCUACUUGGCCGCAGAUUGGAGAUUUUGUACUUGUCCGGGAAUGGGAUCGCCCCAAGCUUGGACCAAGGUGGACAGGACCAUACCAAGUGUUUCUUCAGACUCCGACAGCUCUUAACGUUAAAGGACAGAAUCGCUGGAUCCACUUAAGUGGCUGUAAAUGAUGGAUUUCCUCAUCGACGUGCAGUUAACCAUUGGACUGAGUGUUAUUCUGCCCACGCAUGGCCAGCAGGACAAUCUGUUUUAAAGAACACACAUCCGGCUGCACGGGAAUCGGACAGCAUGUUACCCGCUAGCAUGGUCUGUAGAAGCAUUAUUUGUGGCAACACCUGCCUGGAACCCUAGUCAGCUUUAUGAAAUAGAGUAUUCCGGUAAGCCUUGCCAAGGGGAGAGGGGAACUUGUACAGGGGUGUGCAGGGUACAUGUGUGCAACUGGUAGUUAGUGGUCUCUCUGGUUGUGGGGACACUCGACCUGGGCAUGGGAAGGAAGGGGCUAGCUAUACAGGUCCCAACAGCUAUCUGUUUUGCUUUAAUGGAACCCGGACUUGUUGUGUGCCUGUUGUGGUUACUAAUCACCCCCAUAAUGUUUCCUGGCCCCAGCGGUGAGUAAGGAGAAAUUGCACCACAAUAGGAGGAUUGUUGAACUGCCCCUGCUUGAAAUCUAAGCCCAUAACUGUGACCCCGGGCAUACAGUGGACUUGUGGGGAUUGCAAUAGCACUCAUGUAAAAACAGACUAUGGCUCAUUUCCAUUUAACUCCGCAAAUUUCAAUCCACAUCGGGGUCAGUCCUCCUGGCAUAGCUGUCAAGAAAUAUGUGAGUCUGUUUGCGUUCUUAACGAGACCUUCACUGCUGCCACUCCAACCCUGCCGGUGCUGUUUGCUGUUGGGACCAUUGGGCCCCUCACGGCCCCUUGUCCCCAACAAGCACAAAUUCAACGGCGAAUUGUCACACACUUCCUGACCCGGGAGUUUUGCGCUGCCUGGCAGAACCCAGUUGCCCUGGGCUCUUCCUUAGGACACGGCUUCCUGGGAACUGUCGGCUUGGGAGGCUCCCCUGGGUUGGUGGCCACAAAAGAAAAUGCGAAACUACCUUGUAUGUGGACUCACCGCCCUGGGGAACAGCAGAAUGACGGCAUUGGAGGCAGUCAACCAGGAACAGGCUGAACUUCGGCUCUAUGCUCAGCAAACCCAGUAUGCAGUGAACUAUCAGCUGGCUCAGCAAGGAGGAGUAUGUACUAUUAUCGGGGACAAGUGCAUUACCCACGUCACCGAGACCUAUAACAUUUCCCAGGCUAUCCAAGCCAUACAGGGGCAGUUGGAACAGCACAGUGAGGGACCCCGGCCUGGACAGGGUUUGUUGGGAUGGCUUAUGGGUGGUUCUUGGGGAUCAUAUUUGCUGCAUGGGUUAGUUGUUCUAGUGGUUUUCAUAGAUACCUGCUGUACAUUUAUGGCAUGCCUGAGCCCUUGCUGCAGAUUUGUGUUUGACAGGCUGGCAGCUCCCCUCUCAUCUGCAUUUUUUUCCUAUGCAGAGACUUUAAUUUAUAGAAGUAAACUCUUAUCUACCUACACUGCCCUGAAGGUUACUGCCCAGCUCGGAAUUCAGGGAAAAGCUUUCGUAACUCCUUACCUUCUCACACAUUGAUAUGCAGACACUGUCUUAAGCUUCCUGACUGAAUUAAAAUCCGAAUCAAACUGUUUCAAAUCGGCGUAGGUGGGGAAUAUUUGUAAAGGUGUGAAACCUCUAAAGCAUGUAACUUCUGUCACUGACAAAGGGGCCAGGGCACUGAUUUUGUUCUAGCCAGACACACUGGCAACUUGAAAUCACAAUCUGUCCCGGACAACAACUCGAAGUCGCCUCCUGCCAUUAGCAGCCACUUCACGAGCAAUCGAUACUCUAUCCUGGUCUUUUAUGUUCUUGAUGCAAUACUUGUUUGGUAUCCUGUCUUUGUCUGCUGCAGUAGCUGUUUCAUGAAUCAUGCCUUUUGUAAAUUGUGAAAUUGUUUUAUGUAUCAUGUCUUCUGUAAAGUAUAAAAAAGCGGGGACUGUCCGCUGCUCGGGGUGAAUUACUUGCGAGACUCUGCACUCUGUGCCGGCUUGAGUACACGGAUUCUCCACAGCUAGUACUUGCUUCGUAAUAAAAGGACCACAAAAUGUGAGGCUGGAUGAA